UAGCAAUGAAAAGUUGAGCCUGGCAAGGAAUGUUUGAACCAUGAGACUAAGUUCUCAUCAAUGGGAGCUGAGCAGAGAUAAUAAACCAUUUCCAGAACUGACUGCUGAAAACAUCUCAAGUGACUCUCCAUGUCUCUCUUCCCUUGCCUUUUGACCUUAGAGGCCACAAGUUCCAGAUGGCAUUACUACAAGGGAGGAGCAACCUGGAUUCCUGGAUUUCUGCUCAGAAGAGGACUGCCCUGGAGAGCUACUCAGUUACACUUCAAAUAAGCGAAAAUAAACUUUUAUUUUAUUAAGCCAAUGGGAUUUCAGGGUUUGUUAUCACACAGCAUAGAUUAUCCCAGGAGUUCUCAAAAUGUGAUUCCCAGACAGCAGCAUCAGCAUCUCCUGGGAAUUUGUUAGAUAUGCAUAUUUUUGAGCUCACCUGAAGUCUAGUAAAUCAGAAACUGAGGGUGGGACACAGUGAUCUGUGUUUUAGCAGGCCCUGCAAGUGAUUCUGAUACACUCUAAAGCUUUGAGAACCAUAGGUCUAAACUACCUCAUCAAUAUGGCAGAAUCCUUGAUCUCCAGGAUCUCACAGUCUAAUAGACAGAGGCCCUUGUAUCCUAACCUCUUCUCAAUUUUCCCAAGUCCUUCUUGCCUUUGCU
rnacentral:lncRNA from 10 species